rnacentral:misc_RNA from 1 species
UGGCUGAGCCUCUUCGAGCAAGAGGAGAGGUUAUCACGCGAGCCCCCUCACUGUGAUUGAUCCUCGUAAACAGGUGCAAUUCGAUUGAACGUUGAUUAGUCGGCAUUAUUAGGAAGUUACGCGCGUCGAAUGUGAAUAACGUACGCUACAAUGAUAGCGAUUAUUUCAUCGAGUAGAUAGUACCGAUUGUAGUUAUUCGCUAAAAAUAACUGACUAUCUUAAGUGUGUUUAGUUUGUCCUUUUAAAAUAAUGAGUGUUCACAACAACGCUGAGGGUGCGGACGACUGGGCAGAGUUUUGUGACAGGCACGCCCGAGCUGCGGCAUCCGAUUUUGCGAAAGCUUUUUGCACCUACGUUAAUCUGAACCUCCCAGAAAGCGCGAGGGCCACGUUAUCGCAUCGCGAUUUUUUACGAAAGUUUGUCGACACAUUCUGUGAACACUUUGAGACAGAAUUUUUGCGCCGUAGUACAAGGUCGCCGUCUUUUUACGACACAAGGCAGGCUUCUGUGAAUGACGGCGACGCCAACGCUUCUAAUAAUCAAAACAACAGACCGCCGGUCCGAGCAUCGUCGCACGAAGAGUUUAGCGAUUACUCUGAACAGGAUGGCGAAGCCGUUUCCCCGAAACCCGUGCACAAACCCUUCUUUCGGAGACUCUCUUUUAAGGGUCUUAAAAAAGGGAAGGGAUUCUUUCACAAGCAGCAAAGCGACGAAGUAGAGUUAUCGCACAGUGAGCACCGCCGUGACAAGCAUUCUAAGGCUAAGCUCUCCAAGAUAGUCGUUGAAUGCAGGAAAGAGGGAAUCGUCAAUUGUCUCAUGGGGGAAAACAUUGAUGGUACCCAAAAGUGGGAAAAAUGUCGAUUGGCCCUGGUGAAAGCUAUAGGCGGUUACAUGUUGGAAUUCUACUCUCCCCCUAAGGCGGUAAAGCCACGGAGUGGAGUAUUUUGUUUCAGGAUUACAGAAGCAAGGGAAACAACUGCUCUAGAAAUGCCUGAUCACGAGAAUACUUUUGUUCUUAAGGCUGAACAAAACUUGGAAUUUGUUAUAGAAGCUCAUGAUUCAAAUGACAUGCGUUCAUGGCUGGCGACCAUAAAAUAUUGCAUGAGAUCUGCUCAAACUACUUCUAGUGCUGCUGGCUCUGGACUCAGCGAUUCUACCCGAGAUGCCAUUGCUCAUAGUUCCAAUACUGAAGGAGAAAGAGCUAGGGCCAAUUCAGCAAGUAAAAAUAUCAGAAACUCUCAGGAUCAGCACACCCCUGAUGAUCAAGGAAAUCCACCUGAACUACCACCUCGACUCAGACUUAGUAGCAAUAGCAAUUUGGAUCUACUGUGCCCUUCACAACAGGAAAUGGAAGAAUUAGCUGGUAAUGAUGGAGACUUAGACUUGUCGAGCAGCUUAAGAGAAUAUCGGUGGUUCCAUGGGACCUUGCCAAGAUCAGAUGCAGCUCAGCUUGUUCUACAUAGUGCAGCUAAUGGUCACGGGGUUUUCCUAGUCCGACAAAGUGAGACGCGAAAAGGGGAAUUUGUUUUGACCUUUAAUUUCCAAGGAAGAGCCAAGCACCUGCGAAUGACAUUAAACGACCAAGGGCAAUGUCGAGUCCAGCAUCUCUGGUUCCCAGCAAUCCAUGAUAUGUUGGAACAUUUUCGUCAAAAUCCAAUUCCUUUGGAAUCUGGAGGUACAGCGGAUGUGACCUUAACUGAGUAUGUGGUAGCUAAUCCGACAAGCCGCCCUGCACAUUUCACCACAGCUGGGGCUGGCAGUCAACAGUCCCAGGAACGAAGGCCAGCAACAGCCCCAGAGCCCAGAGAAGUAAGACUCAGCAGCGGCAGUCUAACCCCUCUUGAGUGAGCGCGAGUGGCCAACUCCCACAGUCUGAAGUCUGAAACUACAGACAGUGAGUAGAUACACGCUAAAGUGAGGACGGUGGUGGCCCUUUUUCAGAGUUCAAAUCCCGGGGUGCAGACUCAUGGCGGACCAAUUAGAGCUCGUGCAGAGUCCCUGGAACGUCUAGAACAACAGAACAUUGUUGAUCAACAGCUGCA